CGAAUUUCCUGAAAAUAAAGAAAAAUUUUAUCAGAAAUUUUCCAAAAGGGAUUUGUUCAUGGUUUUUACUGUGACACGACUCAUCGUCUGGAAAGACGUUUCUUCUGUACGUGGAACUGAUUUUUAGAAGUGUUCGUUGGAAAAAAAUCCUCUGUUCGCACGCUCCGCACGCGUACGCACUCUGGCGAUACAUGGAAGCAAAAUUUUCUCGAGAUUGUGUCUGCUUACAGCGGUCCUAUCACGAAAUUCUUAUCGAUACUUGCGAUAAGAAAACUUUUAUAACGAAAGAGGAACGGACCAACGCGACUAUAUUACAACCGCUAAAUCAUAUUCUUAAUUUAUCAAUAAAACUCAAGUUUUUUUCAAAUACGUUGAGACGCGCGCAUAAUUGACCGAUCGACGAAAUUUUAAGUUUGUCAAACUGUCGGAAAGACAACAACGCCAACACUGUGCUUUACGAAAUAUCCCCGAACACUUCGAUCGCCAUCUGCGUGUUACGAGCCCGAACACAUCUUUCAGUCUUCGACAGACCGUCGUGAAAUUAUAUCCGAUUAUUUAUUUUCCUCCAAAAUGCUUCGCGCCAGUAAACUUUUAACGAAUAUUCCGAAAUCGGUAAAUGUUGUCGCAAGAGGAGAAACCAGCAUGACCACUCCACCUCGUGUGCGAAUCUCCAUAACGGAAAAAGUACUCCAUGGAUUGGUUUUCACUGUCGGCGUAUUGGCAUAUCCGGCGUACAUAUCUGUGAACAUCAAGCACUAUCGAGGACCCGUCGAGGAAUAAUCGCGAAUUGGAGAAUCGAUGCGCCAUCUGUGUUCCAAACGCUGAAAUGUGGAAGCCAUUCGUUUCCUGGUAGUAAAUCAAUUGUUCGGGUAUUUCGGAUUCCUCGUGGCAAUUCACCAUUAAAUUGAUGUGAUCUUAUCCAAUCGUGUAAAGUUCUUUCACCAUCAGCUGAUUUUGCCUACCAAUAAAUAACACGCGUCCAAUCGA